AUUUUUUUCUUGUAAGCAACUACUACAAAUAGGACUGAAUUGGGAAAUUCAGCUCAGUCUUUUUAAAAUGUGUGCUAGUAUCAGCAAGGAUUUUGCUGAAUAAGCACUAGCAUAGCCCAGAGAUCUUUAGCUCUGAUGGAACUCAGCACACAUUGAGAUACAAAAGCAGCCCAGACACAAUUUUUCAGGAGCAGUUCUGUGUUUCAGCCACCAGCUCAACGAUCUGUCCUGGUUUGGGCAUGAGGGGAAACUGUCAAUAGUGAAGAGAUGCUAAAACAUUUUUCCUCUCUGGAUUCCACAGCUGUGGCCUUGGCUUGGAAGAGUCUCCAGGAAGCCAAAGCAGUGGUAUGUGCAGUUCAGGGAGCACUUGCUGUCACAAACCUUUAUCUCUUUCUGUCAGCUGCCUGUUCAUCACCUCCACGGCUUAAUUCCAUGGAAAUAUUGUAAUUGAAAGCAAUGUAAACCUGCUAUUUGUUUGUUCUUUCCCAGUGAACACAUCACCUCUUUAUUUGCUAAAUAACAAAGAGAGGAUAAGGGGAAAAGCAAAUAAUUUUACCCUAUUUCACAACACUCACAAACUUAAUGACAAGAACAGACAAAGCUUUGCCUUGCUUGUGGUUGAAGCCCUGAGCAGAACAACAGCUGGGACAUCCUCUGGAUUCUCCCUGUCUUAUCAUCCUCUUCGUGGGGAACAUGAUGGAGUUGUGAGCACAGCAGCUGCCACCAUAACUGACAUUCCUUGGAUAAAUUCAGGAUAUUAUCCAAAUCCACAGGGUGUUGCUUGCGCAGCAAAGACCUGACAGCAGCAUCCCACUGCUGGAGUUGCUCUUGGCUGGGGUCACUUCCAGCUUAAGCUGUCCUUAAAAACAUCAGUAAAAAUCUGAGGCACACAUACUUGCAAAGUGGCAAUAAAGGAGAGAGGUGAUUUCACCUCUUAUCCUCCCAGUCAAUUGCAUUCUUUCCAACUGUAGGAAAUACCACAUGGAACAUGCUCAGACAGGCCAGUAUUUACACAGUAACUAGGAGCUGCAAAAUCAAUCAGAGAAGCAGCGGAUGCCAGCAAAAAACUACUCCAGAAAUAAACCAAAACAUAUGUCUCCCUUCAAAAGAAAAAUCUGCCUUUUCACAGCUACAAAGGAUUGAAAACAAAUUUUAUCAUCAAACGUGGAGCUGUGCCAAAUCACAGGCAGCCAGAAGAAAGCUUUGGCACGAAAAGAGCUUUGAUGGCGAGAGGAACAAAGACGAAACAGCUUUGAGUGAGAAAAAGAGCAGUGAGAUUGCUCCAGCCCACAGAGGGGGAAGCUGUGCUGUUCUCUUCCCUGCUCGCUCACAGACCUGUUUGCCCGAGAGCCCUGCUGUGACCUCUGGCCCGUCCAGAAUGACCCCUCUGGCCCCCAGAGCAGCCUCAGGACCUUGCAGCCCUGCCAGGAAUUGGGCUGUGGAUGGCGAAGGCUCAGCUGGAACAUGGGUCCCUGCAAAGAGCCUGGACAGCCCAAGAAGGGACAAUUUCCUUCAGCAGGGAGAUUCAAGAGGAUUCCCAGUCCAGAAGGAAAAAUGUCCCUGCUCCCUGCAUCGCCCACUUCUCUCCUGUGCAGGGAGCAGCUCCUUCUCUGUCCUGUGUGGCAGCAGCACUCCCAUGCCCACGGCUCUCCUGCUUCCCACAUCCCACCUUUCAGCAGCCAGCAAGGCCAGAGAUCAGAAGCAGGAAGAGCUGUGGAGAAAAUCGCCCCAAAAUAAGUUAGAGCAACUCAAGAAGAGGAUCCAGGAGCAGAAGAGAAAGCAGCAAGCAGCAGCUCAAGAGCAGGAGCGCCUGAUUUUUGCUAAAGAGCCCCUGCCAAAGAGAGCCCUGAAAAGAAAGGUGUGCAGAGUGGCCUCUGCUCCUCCUGCUCCAGCUUACAGAGACCAAAGAGAGAGAAGCUCAGCACAGAGAAUCCAAACAGAACACCAGAGGCAGCUUUCAUCCACAUCCUGUGUUCUGGAGAAAGCAGUGGCAGGGAAAGGUAAGGCUGAAAACGGUGAGAAAUUACAAGGGCUGAUGGACAGAAUUGCCUGGAGCAGCUGA
rnacentral:lncRNA from 1 species